rnacentral:piRNA from 1 species
UUAGAAUAGUCUUUAAAAAUU